GAAACAAUAUUAUUAUUUUAGGGUUCUCUUCUGAUUUGGGGGGUUUGGUUUUGGGUUAGGGUUUUAGUGAAUAGGGUAAUGGUGGUGGUGGUUGAGGAGGAGAGGUGGUGGCUGCAACCACAUCGUCAAUGGCGGAACCUACGGAACCUAUGGAACCUAAGGCAAAGUCUGCAAUUGCCUUGGCUCUUCUUCGAUUAAAGUUUUUCUCUCAACCUCAUUCUUCUCUUCUCUCUUGCUUCUCAUAUCUUCCAUUGGAAACGAAAGAUAAACACUCACAAUUCUAUCUCCUCCACUCUAAAUUUCUAAUUGACGACUUUUUUUUCUGGAAUUUUAGGCGAAAAAUCGUAAGUUGGAAAUUCGAGAACUGUCAGAGUAGCUCAAAGUCUCAAAUGUCUUGAAGGUUCCUUACUGUUCGCCAUAUAUGUUUUUGGACUAUGCUAAUCAGUUUUUGUUAAUAGAGGCAUGCUAAUGUAAACAACCACAGGUAUGGCAAUAUUGUGUUGUGGGGGUAAUGCAUAGGUUUGCUAUUCAAAAUUGGCUGCAGCAUUUUAUAUCUGAUGAUGGUGUAUUGCUAGAGCAUGCUUCCAAUAGUCAAUUUCAGAACUGAAUGAAGAAUUGAAAAUCAAAACUAAAAUCAAAGCUGAAUUUCACAACUGAAUUCAGAGAUAGAUUUCAGAACUGAAUUCAGAGUUGAAUUUCAGAACAGAAUUCAGAGCUGAAUUUCUGAACUGAAUUCUUUAAUUCAUCAGCUAGUUUCUCAGUUACUCUCAUUUUCUCAUCCUUGUGUUGUAUAUUCAGAUCAAAUAGCAAAUAAUAAUUGAACAGUGGACAUUCUUACUAACAAGGUCACAUUUUUAUUUGAUUCCAGCUAUCAGUACAAAGAUUACCUCUCCUUAUUAAGCUUGAAUGAAUGAUAAGUUGUCUUUUUUUCUUUGUUUUUCUUCUUCUGUGGGCGGAGGUGUUAGACUUGACUGAUCUAUGAACUUACAUUGUACAAAUCUAGGUCUCUUCUUGGUCUAUUGGCAGAAUACCAAAGAACAAAGCCCCUUCUUUGACAGGAACAUUAAUGCUUGAGGCAGGCUUUGAAAAGCUUAAUGUAUUCCCAACUUUUGUAGCAUAGUUCCGCAUCAUGCUUAUUGCUCUUUCUGGCCUGAAUAUAUACAAGCUUGAAUUGUCAAAUGUAGCAAAUUGUCCUUACAAGGGUUUCAAAGCUCUAACUCGUGCAGGAGAGUAUCAAGUAAGGUCAUAAAGUUAAAAGGCUCUAGAUAUGAGCCCCGAGACCUUGGGAAACGACUGUACAAAGAACAUCUGCCUUCUUGAAGCUUUGCACAAAAUAGGGUGUUUCCUCCUCAUAUCUCAUCUCGAUCAUUCAUUGGACCUUGGUGCUAGGAAUGCAUGAUGUAAGUUUGUCAAUUUUUGUGAGCCAUCUUUAGAGCUUUUAGGUGUGUUACAAGUAGUUGAUUUAUUUAUUUAUUUAUUUAUUAUGAGAUACUUGUAUCAUGUGUGUAGACUUCUAAAAGAAAAAGAGAUUUAUAGAGGUUGAAAAGUUCAAAUUU